AUGCCAAUCGCAGGCAGGCGUGUGCUCGUGAGGUGCGUGCUCUCGGCCAUGCCCACGUUCGCCCUCACUUUCCUACGGGCUCCGAAGAAGUUUUUCACGGACGUCGAUAAGGUCCGGCGACGAUUCCUCUGGGCGUAUGACGAUGAGAUCUCUGGAAGGAAAUGCAAGGUGGGCUGGCAGGCGGUCACUAGGCCGGAGCGCGCUGGCGGUCUGGGCAUUCAUGAUUUGUCGGCAUUUGGUUGCGCGCUGCGGCUUCACUGGCCAUGGCUUGCCUGGGCACAGCCGAACCACCCCUGGGUUGGCUCGGGCACCCCCUGCAACGAUGAUGAUCAAGCCCUGUUCACGGCCUGCACGGUGGUCACCAUCGGUGACGGCGCUACGACGUCUUUUUGGUCCUCCAACUAG
rnacentral:rRNA from 1 species